rnacentral:rRNA from 1 species
UAAGGAAUAUUGGUCAAUGGACGCAAGUCUGAACCAGCCAUGCCGCGUGAAGGAUGAAGGUCCUCUGGAUUGUAAACUUCUUUUAUCUGGGACGAAAACGGGAUUUUUAUCUCAAUUGACGGUACCAGAGGAAUAAGCACCGGCUAACUCCGUGCCAGCAGCCGCGGUAAUACGGAGGGUGCGAGCGUUAUCCGGAUUUACUGGGUUUAAAGGGUGCGUAGGUGGGCUUAUAAGUCAGUGGUGAAAUCUCCGAGCUUAACUUGGAAACUGCCGUUGAUACUAUAGGUCUUGAAUUAUCUGGAGGUGAGCGGAAUAUGUCAUGUGGCGGUGAAAUGCUUAGAUAUGACAUAGAACACCAAUUGCGAAGGCAGCUUACUACAUAUAAAUUGACGCUGAGGCACGAAAGCGUGGGGAUCAAACA